AGUGAACGCUGGCGGUAGGCCUAACACAUGCAAGUCGAACGGCAGCACAGUAAGAGCUUGCUCUUACGGGUGGCGAGUGGCGGACGGGUGAGGAAUACAUCGGAAUCUACUUUUUCGGGGGGGAUAACGUAGGGAAACUUACGCUAAUACCGCAUACGACCUACGGGUGAAAGCAGUGGAUCUUCGCACCUUGCGCGAUUGAAUGAGCCGAUGUCGGAUUAGCUAGUUGGCGGGGUAAAGGCCCACCAAGGCAACGAUCCGUAGCUGGUCUGAGAGGAUGAUCAGCCACACUGGAACUGAGACACGGUCCAGACUCCUACGGGAGGCAGCAGUGGGGAAUAUUGGACAAUGGGCGCAAGCCUGACGCAGCAACGCCGCGUGAGUGAUGAAGGCCUUCGGAUUGUAAAGCCCUGUUGUUGGGGAAGAAAAGCAGCAUGUUAAUCUCUCGACGUCUUGACGGUACCUAAUCAGUAAGCACCGGCUAACUUCGUG
rnacentral:rRNA from 1 species